GAUGAAGAACGUAGCGAAAUGCGAUAAGUAAUGUGAAUUGCAGAAUUCAGUGAAUCAUCGAAUCUUUGAACGCACCUUGCGCCCUUUGGCUAUUCCGAAGGGCAUGCCUGUUUGAGUAUCAUGAACACCUCAACUCUCAUGGUUUGCCAUGAUGAGCUUGGACUUGGGGGUUUUGCUGGCCUUCGGUCGGCUCCUCUCAAACGGAUCAGCUUUCCAGUGUUUGGUGGCAUCACGGGUGUGAUAACUAUCUACGCCUGUGGUUUUCUGCCAGAUAACCUUCAGCGAUGGAGGUUCGCUGGGGCUCAUAAAUGUCUCUCUUCAGUGGAGACAGCUUUUUGGACGUUUGAUCUCAAAUCAGGUAGGACUACCCGCUGAACUUAAGCAUAUCAAUAAGCGGAGGA
rnacentral:misc_RNA from 1 species